CGGGUGUAAACUCUUUCAGCAGGGAAGAAGCGAAAGUGACGGUACUGCAGAAGAAGCGCCGGCUAACUACGUGCCAGCAGCCGCGUAAUACGUAGGCGCAAGCGUGUCCGGAAUAUUGGGCGUAAAGAGCUCGUAGGCGGUCUGUCGCGUCUGGUGUGAAAUCCCAUGGCUCAACUGUGGGCUUGCAUCGGGUACGGGCAGACUAGAGUGCUGUAGGGGAGACUGGAAUUCCUGGUGUAGCGGUGGAAUGCGCAGAUAUCAGGAGGAACACCGAUGGCGAAGGCAGGUCUCUGGGCAGUUACUGACGCUGAGGAGCGAAAGCAUGGGGAGCGAACAGGAUUAGAUACCCUGGUAGUCCAUGCCGUAAACGUUGGGCACUAGGUGUGGGGCGGGUUCCACUCGUUCUGUGCCGCAGCUAACGCAUUAAGUGCCCCGCCUGGGGAGUACGGCCGCAAGGCUAAAACUCAAAGGAAUUGACGGGGGCCCGCACAAGCGGCGGAGCAUGCGGAUUAAUUCGAUGCAACGCGAAGAACCUUACCAAGGCUUGACAUGUACGAGAACGCGUUAGAGAUAACGAACUCUUUGGACACUCGUACACAGGUGGUGCAUGGUUGUCGUCAGCUCGUGUCGUGAGAUGUUGGGUUAAGUCCCGCAACGAGCGCAACCCUUAUCCUAUGUUGCCAGCGGGUUAUGCCGGGGACUCAUGGGAGACUGCCGGGGUCAACUCGGAGGAAGGUGGGGAUGACGUCAAAUCAUCAUGCCCCUUAUGUCUUGGGCUUCACGCAUGCUACAAUGGCCGGUACAGAGGGCUGCGAUACCGUGAGGUGGAGCGAAUCCCAAAAAGCCGGUCUCAGUUCGGAUCGGGGUCUGCAACUCGACCCCGUGAAGUCGGAGUCGCUAGUAAUCGCAGAUCAGCAACGCUGCGGUGAAUACGUUCCCGGGCCUUGUACACACCGCCCGUCAAGUCACGAAAGUUGGUAACACCCGAAGCUCACGGCCCAACCCGCAAGGGAGGGAGUGGUCGAAGGUGGACUG
rnacentral:rRNA from 1 species